UGAAACUUUGAGCAUAGCUUCUCUAAUGUUU
rnacentral:piRNA from 1 species